GAUGAACGCUAGCGACAGGCCUAACACAUGCAAGUCGAGGGGCAGCACAUGAGUAGCAAUACGAUGGUGGCGACCGGCGCACGGGUGAGUGACACGUAUGCAACCUGCCUUCUACUAUGGGAUAACCCGUUGAAAGACGGACUAAUACCGUAUAAUACAGGGGCUCCGCCUGGAGAUAUUUGUUAAAGAUUUAUUGGUAGAAGAUGGGCAUGCGUAUGAUUAGAUAGUUGGUGAGGUAACGGCUCACCAAGUCAACGAUCAUUAGGGGUUCUGAGAGGAAGGUCCCCACACUGGUACUGAGACACGGACCAGACUCCUACGGGAGGCAGCAGUGAGGAAUAUUGGUCAAUGGACGAGAGUCUGAACCAGCCAAGUCGCGUGAAGGAAGACGGUUCUAUGAAUUGUAAACUUCUUUUGUGCAGGAAUAAAGUGGGUUACGUGUAACCUUUUGCAUGUACUGUACGAAUAAGGAUCGGCUAACUCCGUGCCAGCCGCCGCAGUAAAAC
rnacentral:rRNA from 1 species